AUGCCACUGUUCAGGAGCUGUCCCUGCAGCAGAAACACACGUAGCAGGAGUGUGAGUGGAUCCUGGUGCUGCUAUGUGCUGCCGUGCUGCAGGAUGAGAGGAGGGCUCCACUUGGAUUCAGCCCUACCAGAACCAGAUUUCAGAGAAGAGACCAUCUGAUUUUCUGCGUGGCCCAGUUUUAGGUCUCUAUAGUCUUGCAAUGGAAAUGUUAAGUCACGUCCUCACCCGGUGAUUGAGCACCUGGUGGGAAGGUGGGGCCAAGCGAGGGGAGCUCAGCUGCAUGCGAUGUGUCUGAGUGACUAGAAUGGGUAGAGCCACGAUCAACCCCUUCCCAGACCUCAUUUAAGGGUUGGCAGUGGAGGUGAGAGUGUCUUAUCGAGUGAUUGCUGUGUACUUAAGGACCUUAUAGAUCUUCUGAAGGUAAGUUGCUUCUUUCCUUUAGUUU
rnacentral:lncRNA from 1 species